rnacentral:lncRNA from 1 species
GGACGGUCACUGAACAAGUCUGUGAAAUGCUAUUCACAACCCACCUGUGUUGAAUGUCCUUGGUCUCAGCUGUCCAGGACUGGGAUUGGUUAUGGAAAAGCUGCAGGACAUCAUCUACCGGUUCCAUGUCAGCAAGACCCUCUUUCUGAGCUGAAUACCAUCUCCACUGUGGAGGAAGGAAGAGCCUUGCACGGCCAGGAGUGGGGUGAAACUAGCGGCAAAACCCAGGUGCUGGACAUCUUGUGUGGUGAACUCUGCCAUGAGGAGUUUACUGGGUAAAAGAACAUUCUGCAUGGAGAACACUUAGAUUUAGAUGUCACAGCACCAUCCUACUAAGUGGAGUUGUGCCCCCAAAGCACCUGAGUAGAGUGGUGAGUGUGUUCCAGGAUGCUGGCAUCUAGUGUAGCAUGGGAGCCUGGCGUAGGGCUCCAGUGUCCUUCCAGUUUUUGGAGUGUCUCAAAGGUGUCCCUUGAGGGCACUGGGGCGAUGGUGAUAGAGUUCACUGAGGAUCAUCCCCCUUGAUUUGGCAUGAGCAAGUACAGGAAUUUAUUGUGAGGAGAUCAUUGCCUGUCUUCAUAACCCCAUCUAUGAGACUGUUGACCAAAUUAUUGUUCAUGCAACAGUGUUCAUUCCAUGUGUAUGCCCUUGUUCCUUCUUCAGCAAAUAAGAUUUCAUUUAUUGUAUUGAACGAAUUUAUGAGUUCUUGAUGCCUACAUUAUUGACCUCUACCCUAUUUCUUUUGUUGAAAAUGCUGUUUGCUUUGUUCUUCAGCUUUCCGUGUAUUAUAAAUGAACUUGUUAUUUAAAUAUAUAAUCAUUGGUUAUGUAUUUUUUAUGACACCCAUAAGUGUUCUUUGUUUUGUCAUUGUAAUUUGUUGGGCUGUUUGACCAUGGAAUGAAUAUUAUUUCAUAUAAUUAUAAUUUGUUCCUGGAUGUUAAGGGUUAUGGUGGAGCUGUUGUCCAAAAACCUAUAAUAACCUCUAGAAUUUGCUAAAAAUAUCAUCAUAGUUACUCUUCCUUCAUCUGUUUUGCUUGAGUUAAUACUUGUCUAUUAACAAAUACUUUCCCAUGUGAAUGAAUUUGGAUUUUAUUGGAUAUCUGGAGAAUAUUUUAGUGUUUAUAGUGACUGUAUUUGUCCCUUAAAUAGAAAGAAAUGUAUCCAUAAUUUGUUUUAUAAGAUAUUUCAGUUUCUCUAUAGUAUAUUUUAAGUUUUCUAAACAUAAUUUGUUGGAUUUUGUAUGAAUUUUACAGAGCUUUUUAUUUCAGUUAAAAUGUUUUAU